UACGAAGGGGGCAAGCGUUGUUCGGAAUUACUGGGCGUAAAGGGCGCGUAGGCGGCUUAUCAAGUCAGGCGUGAAAUUCCCGGGCUCAACCUGGGGGCUGCGCUUGAUACUGAUGAGCUUGAAUGCGGGAGAGGAUAGUGGAAUUCCCAGUGUAGAGGUGAGAUUCGUAGAUAUUGGGAAGAACACCGGUGGCGAAGGCGGCUAUCUGGCCCGUAAUUGACGCUGAGGCGCGAAAGCGUGGGGAGCAAACAGG
rnacentral:rRNA from 1 species